CAUGUUCAGUUGGGGUCGACUCAAGGUUGGGUCGACUCAAGUUCCAUUUGGGUCGACCCUCUCAGGGAUUCCAGAGACUUGUUUUCUUGAGGCUUGAAGAUGGGGUCGACUCAACUUUCACUUGGGUCGACCCAAGUACUGUUCAUCCGUGCCAUUUUUGCAGAAGUGUGCCAGAUGUUUCCUUGAUGUGCCGGGGUCGACUCCACCAAUCUUGGGGUCGACUCAAUCCACACUUUGCUGCAACUUAAGGUUAGAUUCAUCCAUAUAGUCAAUGAAAUAAACUUCAAACAAUUUUGAAUAUAUGUCAUGGUGGAGCUACAUACUCUAAAUAAUGAAAAUUACUAUUGUCUACUUAAGAGUACGUUUCACUUGAAACUUUGCCGAAUUGGAAUUUUGAAUUCACUAUCCCUUUUCUAUCGCAAAUUUUAUCUCAUUUUUAAUCAUUAAAAUACAUCUUGAUCUCAUUCUACUAAUGUACCGAGAGUGACAAACUUAGUAAUGAUGUAUCAUAUUACCUUGUAAUAUUUAAUUAGGUAUACCCUCAAGGGUUGUGUUAAUCAUCAAAAUAACACUAUCAUCCUCAAUCUCCCCCUUUUUGAUGAUUACAAAAUAUUGAGUAUGAGCAAAUUGAUUCUUAUCUUAAAAUUAGUUUUAGAAGGGCUCAAGUUGCUGAAUUUCAGCUUUUCACAUUUGAGAGUGAAGUCUCCCCCUAUUUCAUCCAAAUAUUGCCAAUUUGAACUUUUGAUUUACUCCCCCUUUCUUUCAUAUUUGGUUAAAGAUGAAACGUCAAAAAUUUGAGAUAAAGCAAGAGUUUCAGAUUAUGUAUCGAGGUGUGAGAGGUAUGUGCCAAAUUCUGAAAUUUGAUUAAAAGUUUAGAUUUUAAUACAUAUCGCUCCCCCUUAAGUGUAUAUUGUCCUUGUUUGUCAACUUAUUACAACUUAAUUUUCUUUCCUUGCUUCUCCCCCUUUUUGUUAUCAUCAAAUAGGUGCAUGGCAAUAGAUAAGUAGACACAGUAAAUAAUAAACAUUCAGAUUUUACUGAUCAAACAUGGAACAUUGUAGUACAUUAACACAAAAAUACAAUGUUCUUCAAUCAAAGUGCAAAGUACAUGAUCAACACAAAAUACAUAUGAGAACUAGAUAAAUCCUAGGCACUAAUACCAAAAGUGCUAACAUCAGCCUAGGGGGUAUCUAAUGGCUGUGAUCUAGUCCUCAUCCUCCUAGCAUAAAUGGCGAGGGGAGGUCGAGUCUGAUGGGACUGAGUCUGGCGUGGACCUCGCUGAGCUGGAUGACUCUGUGCCGAAACCUCUGACUCAGCUGCUCGGGGCACAGAUGGACCAUGAGCCUCUCUCUCUCUCUCCGUAAUGCUCCAACCUCCUCUCUGAGAUCGCUAAUCUCAGCAGUCAUGAUAUCCAACCUGCUCAUCAAUCCAU
rnacentral:lncRNA from 1 species